rnacentral:rRNA from 1 species
UGCCGCGUGUGUGAAGAAGGCCCGAGGGUUGUAAAGCACUUUUAGUAAGGAGGAAAGGUUAGUCGCUAAUAUCGGCUAGCUGUGACGUUACUUACAGAAAAAGCACCGGCUAACUCUGUGCCAGCAGCCGCGGUAAUACAGAGGGUGCAAGCGUUAUUCGGAAUUACUGGGCGUAAAGCGCGCGUAGGCGGAUUGUUAAGCCAGUUGUGAAAGCCCUGGGCUCAACCUAGGAACGGCGAUUGAAACUGGCAGUCUAGAGUUUAGUAGAGGGAAGGGGAAUUUCUGGAGUAGCAGUGAAAUGCGUAGAUAUCAGAAGGAACAUCAGUGGCGAAGGCGCCUUCCUGGACUAAAACUGACGCUGAGGUGCGAAAGCGUGGGGAGCAAACGGGAUUAGAUACCCCGGUAGUCCACGCCCUAAACGAUGUCAACUAGCUGUUGGUCUUAUUAAAAAGAUUAGUAGCGCAGCUAACGCGAUAAGUUGACCGCCUGGGGAGUACGGUCGCAAGAUUAAAACUCAAAGGAAUUGACGGGGGCCCGCACAAGCGGUGGAGCAUGUGGUUUAAUUCGAUGCAACGCGAAGAACCUUACCAUCCCUUGACAUCCUGCGAACUUUCUAGAGAUAGAUUGGUGCCUUCGGGAGCGCAGUGACAGGUGCUGCAUGGCUGUCGUCAGCUCGUGUC